UACAGAGGGUGCGAGCGUUAAUCGGAAUUACUGGGCGUAAAGAGCGCGCAGGCGGUCGUUCAAGUCGCGUGUGAAAGCCCCCGGCUCAACUGGGGAGGGUCACGCGAUACUGAUCGACUCGAAGGCAGGAGAGGGAAGUGGAAUUCCCGGUGUAGUGGUGAAAUGCGUAGAUAUCGGGAGGAACACCAGUGGCGAAGGCGGCCCCCUGGUUGGAUACUGACGCUGAGACGCGAAAGCGUGGGGAGCAAACAGG
rnacentral:rRNA from 1 species